rnacentral:rRNA from 1 species
CCUACGGGCGGCAGCAGUGGGGAAUAUUGGACAAUGGGCGAAAGCCUGAUCCAGCCAUGCCGCGUGUGUGAAGAAGGCCUUCGGGUUGUAAAGCACUUUCAGUGGGGAAGAAAGCCUUGGGGCUAAUACCCUCGAGGAAGGACAUCACCCACAGAAGAAGCACCGGCUAACUCCGUGCCAGCAGCCGCGGUAAUACGGAGGGUGCGAGCGUUAAUCGGAAUUACUGGGCGUAAAGCGCGCGUAGGCGGUCUGAUAAGCCGGUUGUGAAAGCCCCGGGCUCAACCUGGGAACGGCAUCCGGAACUGUCAGACUAGAGUGCAGGAGAGGAAGGUAGAAUUCCCGGUGUAGCGGUGAAAUGCGUAGAGAUCGGGAGGAAUACCAGUGGCGAAGGCGGCCUUCUGGACUGACACUGACGCUGAGGUGCGAAAGCGUGGGUAGCAAACAGGAUUAGAUACCCCUGUAGUC